UACGUAGGGUGCGAGCGUUAAUCGGAAUUACUGGGCGUAAAGCGUGCGCAGGCGGUUUUGUAAGACAGACGUGAAAUCCCCGGGCUUAACCUGGGAACUGCGUUUGUGACUGCAAGACUAGAGUGUAGCAGAGGGGGGUAGAAUUCCACGUGUAGCAGUGAAAUGCGUAGAUAUGUGGAGGAAUACCAAUGGCGAAGGCAGCCCCCUGGGUUAACACUGACGCUCAUGCACGAAAGCGUGGGGAGCAAACAGG
rnacentral:rRNA from 1 species